UACAGAGGGUGCGAGCGUUAAUCGGCAUUACUGGGCGUAAAGCGCACGUAGGUGGCGACGUAAGUCGGGUGUGAAAGCCCCGGGCUCAACCUGGGAAUUGCAUUCGAGACUGCAUUGCUGGAGUACGGAAGAGGAGGGCGGAAUUCCCGGUGUAGCGGUGAAAUGCGUAGAUAUCGGGAGGAACAUCAGUGGCGAAGGCGGCCCGCUGGUCCAGUACUGACACUCAAGUGCGAAAGCUUGUGGAGCAAACAGG
rnacentral:rRNA from 1 species